GUUACCGGGUGGCCGGCGGCUGAGCGUGGCCGCUGCCCCGCCCCGCGCCGCGUCCGCCACUGGCACCUUGGCGGCCAGGGACCGGUCCAGGUCGUUGUGUGUCGAACGGCUGGGCCUGGCCACCCUUCUGCACCCGGCCGCCAUACCGGUCAGAGAACUCAACAGGAGGCGGGCCUCGUCCGCACUAUCGUCUUCCAAUGAUCUCAUAUCUCGACGUGGUGUGUUCAGCAGGCGUCAUUAUGGUUCUGUUGAAUUGUUGCCUCAAUUGGAUGCAUCUGGCCAAGAUCCAGGAGGAAGAAGAUUUCGAAUUGAAAAUGGUGACUCUCUCGGAGAAAAAGAA